CAUUAAUGGAUGUGUAUUUAAAACUUUAGAAAUAGUGAAAACUUCUGUUGUCCAAUUUGGUGUAUAACUUUUACUAAAAUUAUGUUUAUACUUUGAUAUUCUUACUUUAUCAUUAAUUUUAAAUUUUGAUUUUUUAGAUGUAUUAAUUUGUAUUAUUUUUUUUUUUUUUUUCUUAUUAUAAUCGGUUUGGUCCGAGCUUCGAGUGGUGUACAUUUCAUUGUUGAAUGUAGCAAUCUGACAUUAUUUUUAUUUUUAUUUUUUUCAUUAUAUAUGUAAGUUAUUUAAAAUUAUAAAAUAGCAUAGGUAAUCUGAUCAAAUGACCACUAUGUUCAAUUUAAUAUGGAAAACCUAAAACAAAAUGAGUGCAUUACAUUUAUUUUAUUUAUACCUAAUUAGAAAUACAUAAAUCGAUGAUCACUUUACACACUCAUACAACCUUAUUAGAUUGUAUAUAAACAGUCAGCAUACAUUGAUUAUAGAUUAUAAAUCUCAACAUUAUCUAUUAGACUUGAUGCAUCGUCGCUUCACACCGUUACUUAACCGCUACAAGACUAUAUAACAAGUAAAUACAAUGUCUUCAUACACCAUUGUAACUGAUGAAGGCUCAUCAAACGAAGAUCAGGAAAGUUCAUAUUCAGUAAAACCAGUUACACCAAAAACGAG